rnacentral:rRNA from 1 species
GAAUUUUCCGCAAUGGGCGAAAGCCUGACGGAGCAAUACCGCGUGAGGGAUGACUGCCUAUGGGUUGUAAACCUCUUUUUUCAGGGAGGAAUAAAUGACGUGUACCUGAAGAAUAAGCAUCGGCUAACUCCGUGCCAGCAGCCGCGGUAAGACGGAGGAUGCAAGUGUUAUCCGGAAUCACUGGGCGUAAAGCGUCUGUAGGUGGUUUAAUAAGUCAACUGUUAAAUCUUGAGGCUCAACCUCAAAAUCGCAGUCGAAACUAUUAGACUAGAGUAUAGUAGGGGUAAAGGGAAUUUCCAGUGGAGCGGUGAAAUGCGUAGAGAUUGGAAAGAACACCGAUGGCGAAGGCACUUUACUGGGCUAUUACUAACACUGAGAGACGAAAGCUAGGGUGGCAAAUGGGAUUAGAUACCCCAGUAGUC